rnacentral:rRNA from 1 species
GGAAUAUUGGACAAUGGGCGAAAGCCUGAUCCAGCAAUGCCGCGUGUGUGAAGAAGGCCUUCGGGUUGUAAAGCACUUUAAGCAGGGAAGAAAAAGCACGACCUAACACGUCGAGCCUUGACGGUACCUGCAGAAGAAGCCCCGGCCAACUACGUGCCGGCAGCCGCGGUAACACGCAGGGGGCGAGCGUUGUCCGGAUUUAUUGGGCGUAAAGAGCUCGUAGGCGGUUUCGUAAGUCGGGUGUGAAAACCCCAGGCUCAACCUGGGGACGCCACCCGAUACUGCGAUGACUAGAGUCCGGUAGGGGAGUGUGGAAUUCCUGGUGUAGCGGUGAAAUGCGCAGAUAUCAGGAGGAACACCAACGGCGAAGGCAGCACUCUGGGCCGGAACUGACGCUGAGGAGCGAAAGCGUGGGUAGCGAAC